CAGAGCUAUAACUAAGAAAACCCAAGUCUUGAAUUUGUUUAAUCUUCAUCAACAGAUGGCUUUGAACCACCGGUUUUCUUUGGAAGCAAAAGGUUGUGAAUGUUGGGCAUCACACCACCAUUGGCAAUUGUUACGUCUCCGAGAAGUUUGCUUAGUUCCUCAUCGUUCCUCA